AACUUAAAGGAAUUGACGGGGGCCCGCACAAGCGGAGGAACAUGUGGUUUAAUUCGAUGAUACGCGAGGAACCUUACCUGGGGCUAGAACGCAUUCGGAAUCAGGCCGAAAGGCCUGCGCCAGCGAUGGCCGCUUGCGAGGUGCUGCAUGGUUGUCGUCAGCUCGUGCCGUGAGGUGUCGGGUUAAGUCCCAUAACGAGCGCAACCCCUACUGCUAGUUGCCAGCGGGUCAUGCCGGGGACUCUAGCGGAACUGCCAGCGUAAGCUGCGAGGAAGGUGGGGAUGACGUCAAAUCAGCACGGCCCUUACGUCCAGGGCUACACACGUGUUACAAUGGCCGGUACAGAGGGCAGCCACCCCGCGAGGGGGCGCGAAUCCCGAAAGCCGGUCCCAGUUCGGAUCGGAGUCUGCAACCCGACUCCGUGAAGCUGGAUUCGCUAGUAAUCGCGCAUCAGCCACGGCGCGGUGAAUACGUUCCCGGGCCUU
rnacentral:rRNA from 1 species